GACAGAGGGUGCAAACGUUGCUCGGAAUCACUGGGCGUAAAGGGCGUGUAGGCGGGCAGGAAAGUCAGAUGUGAAAUCCCUGGGCUCAACCCAGGAACUGCAUUUGAAACUCCCUUUCUUGAGUGUCGGAGAGGAGAGCGGAAUUCCUGGUGUAGAGGUGAAAUUCGUAGAUAUCAGGAGGAACACCGGUGGCGAAGGCGGCUCUCUGGACGAUAACUGACGCUGAGACGCGAAAGCGUGGGGAGCAAACAGG
rnacentral:rRNA from 1 species